GACCACCUCUUAAUGUUUAGUAAUGUUCAUCCUGUGCUUAGUACUGUGCGGAAUUGUGUGACAAGGUGACCACAGUGAAGAAUCCAGUGCUCCAUCUUCUCCUUAUAUUUGCAGAGAUAAAGAAAACAUAAGACUGAAAAAGGCAGCAAUCUGAUUAUCUUAAAGGACUUACUGGACCAUUUAUGUGCUUCCUGUCUGCACAGGUCACAAGUGCUCAAAUUUUUCCCAGUUUACAUGCUUCUACGCAAAUAUGCAGAUAAGGGAAGAUCAAAGGAUUUUGCCUUGCACUUGAAACAGAAGCCUUACACGGGGCACUUGGAGUGCAGAGGGAGUAUGCCCUGGAUGCCAGCCAAAUGAAAGAAGACAGCUGAGAGGAAUUCCAGCUGUUAUGGGGAAUGAUGCUGCAGAAGGACUGCUUAGUUUGGAGCAUUUCUAUUCCAGUGGUGCAAUGUCAAGUAAAUCAACAGGUUUCAGCAAUCUGUAUUUGUUAGUCUAGCCCAGCAGUGACAGACAGAAAACUUGAUGCACAAGGGGUUAUUUAUACUUACAGACUGAUACUU
rnacentral:lncRNA from 1 species